rnacentral:rRNA from 1 species
CCAAUAGCGUAUAUUAAAGUUGUUGCAGUUAAAAAGCUCGUAGUUGAAUUUCGGGGUUAGUAAGUUGGUCAUGCCUUCGGUAUGUACUGGCUUUACUGAUUCCUCCUUCUUGACGAACUGUAAUGUCAUUAAUUUGGUGUUGCAGGAAAUCAGGACUGUUACUUUGAAAAAAUUAGAGUGUUUAAAGCAGGCUUACGCUUGAAUACAUUAGCAUGGAAUAAUGAAAUAGGACGUUUGAUCCUAUUUUGUUGGUUUCUAGGAUUGACGUAAUGAUUAAUAGGGAUAGUUGGGGGCAUUAGUAUUCAAUUGUCAGAGGUGAAAUUCUUGGAUUUAUUGAAGACUAACUACUGCGAAAGCAUUUGCCGAGGAUGUUUUCAUUAAUCAAGAACGAAAGUUAGGGGAUCAAAGACGAUCAGAUACCGUCGCAGACUUAACCAUAAACUAUGCAGACUAGGGAUCGGAUGACCUUAAAUUUAUAAUAACGCA